GUCUACGGCCAUACCACUUGGAAUGCGCCCAAUCUCGUCUGAUCACAGAAGCUAAGCAGGGUAGGGCCUGGUUAGUACUUGGAUGGGAGAAAUAUAGUAUGGAAGGUA
rnacentral:rRNA from 1 species